GAGGCUGGGCAGCCGGCGCGACGCGAGAGAGUUUCGAAGAUCACGAAGCGGUCGAUGGCCGCCGGAGGGAACUGAGAAAUGGUCACGCCGCAGUAAGACAUCGCCUCGGCCACCAAAGACGGAAGCGGAAGAACGAGACCGGCGUCGGCAAAGGGCGUGUAGAGGGCGACCGAGCCCGGCGGCGGAUCAGAGGCAACACGCUCGCCAGCAACAGUGAAG
rnacentral:lncRNA from 1 species